rnacentral:rRNA from 1 species
GUAGGAAAUUUGAGAGGAGCUGUCCUUAGUACGAGAGGACCGGGAUGGACCAACCUCUGGUGCACCAGUUGUCACGCCAGUGGCACAGCUGGGUAGCUAUGUUGGGACUGGAUAAACGCUGAAAGCAUCUAAGCGUGAAGCCAACCUCAAGAUGAGAUUUCCCAUAGCGUAAGCUAGUAAGACUCCUGGAAGAACACCAGGUUGAUAGUCAGAGAUGUAAGCAUGGCAACAUGUUAAGUUGACUGAUACUAAUAAGUCGAGGGCUUGACCAAAA